rnacentral:lncRNA from 1 species
CGUCCAUCCUGCAGACCUGACUCUGUGAACUUGAACUCUAUCCUGCCAAUGGCUGGUACAGAUAUCUCUAGGAGACAGUUACCCCAAGGCAGCUCUGUCUGGCUCUCCUUCAGAAGGCAUGUGUGGUGGUUUGAAUAGGAAUGGCAUCCGCAGGCUCAGGUCAUCUCCACACAGUUUCCUUGUGGUGAUAAGUCGGGAGCAGGCACAGCCUCCUUGGAGACCGAGGCUAUCCACGAGACACUUUGGUGACUCAGAAGGACCUGAACGGAAGGGAAACUGCCAUGCAAAUAGAGAUUUUGUUUAAUUCUUGAAAGAAAACCCUCCAUUUAAGAAUAAACGAAAGCAAAAGCUUGAAACCA